CUGUCUAACCCCUACCUGCUCCUUAAUGACCUGUCUCUGUACUGUCUAACCCCUACCUGCUCCUUAAUGACCUGUCUCUGUACUGUCUAACCCCUACCUGCUCCUUAAUGACCUGUCUCUGUACUGUCUAACCCCAGUCAUUCUGUGUAGAGGCGUCCAGAGAAUCCGUGUUAAGAUGGGUAUUUUGAGAAGGGGAGGGCUUGAUGUUCCUGUGGUUGUUGAUGUUGUGAUGUGUUGCGGUGGUCAACCUGUGCACUACAGUCCCAUCACCAUGUUGCUUCACACUGCCCCUACACAAACUGGCUACAGAUGCAUGCUGGGUGGUUUCAAUGUGUUAAAUGGCCGAAAUACAAACCUGAUCAAAUCAAGACAAAACCACAGCCUAUUUUAGGAACAGUAACCACGGCAACCUCCGGCGUCCUAAAACGACAGUUGGUCCAGAAUCACAUCACCUAGCAACAGCCGGGACGGAGGCAGACCGCGUUGGUGCUGCCCCCUGCUGGCCGCGGGCUCUCUCUGUCCCCAACUCUCCCUCACACGCGUCCAAGUGUUUGUGCGUGCCUUCGUGGUGGUGCUGCUGUUUGUGCUGGCCAAUCGUUCGGUGUGUGUUUGUGUGUUUGAUCCGUUCCUCUGCUUCCUGCCGCCCGCCUGCCGUGAUGCAUUAGAGACGAUGAUGAUGAUGAUGAUGAUGAUGAUGAUGAUGAUGAUGAUGAUGAUGAUGAUGGACGACGGUUUGAGCGUAACGUUUGAACGGCUCUGUUGGGUUUCAGUCGGGGACGGUGUUUUCAUGGCACCGGGGUGGGAGGGGCUAAGGUCCUUAACCAUCUAACCCCCUUAGGGAUUAGCAUGUUGGUUAAGGACCUCAACCCUUAGGCUAAGGCCCUUAACCAUCUAACCCCCUUAGUGAUUAGCAUGUUGAGGUCAUCAGGUUUGCAUCAGGUUUGUUGAUGAGUUUGUUGAUGGGUUUGUUGAGGGUUCUGUUGAGGGGUUUGUUGAUGGGUUUGUUGAUGGGUUUGUUGAAGGUUCUGUUGAUGGGUUUGUUGAUGGGUUUGUUAAUGGGUUCGUCGAUAGGUUCGUCGAUGGGUUCGUCGAUGGGUUUGUUGAGGGGGUUUGUUGAUGUGUCUGUUGUGGGGGUGAUGGCGUCUCGCCGACAGGCAGGAAGAGCCAUGAGGAGGGUCAACGAACGGUAGCUGAACCGCUCUGUCUCACUGGUGUCUGUAUAUAAUGUUGUUAAAUAAAUAAAUAUAAAUAUAUAUAUAUAUCAUACGACAAGA